GAAUCCGGUUGUUUAAAGCCCCAGGGUGCCCUCAGCAAGUGGCUUCAAUAGGGCUUCGCUGAACGAUCCCCAUCCUCGCGUGUCCUGGGCUGGUGGCUGAAGUAGGCGGGCGCGAAAAAGUGAUGGGUUACCCGGACUGCGUGCUGGACCUGCGUGCCUCGGGACACUAGGAAGGGAAGGGGAAUUUGCCACUUUGCGGGGGAAGGAGGAGGAAGAGAGAGCAGAAAUGCGAAGCGGGGUGGGGGGGCUCCCCAAGAAGAAAACAGAAAGGAGGAGGAAGAAAGCGAGCGAGAGCAACCCCACCCUUCGAAAAGGUCGCUAUCCUUAAGAAAGCAGACACGGGGUCCCCUGACCCCUGCGGGAAACGCCCCAGCGUGGAACGCGCAACCCUGGCGCUGCCUGCCCUGCCACUCGUGGCCCCCGCCCUGAGGAGCCGGGUGCGCGGGUGCGCAAGCAGGUGACUUUAUUCACUGUUUCCCCAAUCGGCGAGGUCCCGGGACUCGUUUUCCGCCUGGAGAUUAAGAUCAUUGCUCGCGUAAUGAACUUAAUGCUUUAGGGUAGAGCUCUGCCUUGGGAGAGAAUGCGACGGACUCGUUGUCAGGAAGAUUGGACCAAAAGCAGAUAGUCUCCCCAACCCCUCCCCCCGCUCCUCCCCGCCAUCAGCGACUCCCUCAAGGGGCGAUUUCCCACACUCUACACCGCCCUGUCCUGGGCCUUGGGAUUCCCAACCUCGUGUAGACUCUGCACCUGGCUACCUAAGUGCCACGGGAUGCCCCACAGUCAAGUGGGUGAGGGGUGGUCAGGGAGAGGGGAGUGAAACGGGGCGACAUGCCGGGCCACACAAGGCACCCCACGACCCAGUUCCACGCCACUCCACCCGGCGUCCAAGCGCCUACCAGGGAGCUCCGCAUCGUCAGGUUUUUACUGUCUAUACAUCCGAGGGCCUGCUGGGAUCCGAAAGGCUGGGGAAAGUCUGCAAAGGCUUUAAAGUGAUCCCGAGGAGCUCCUACCUAAGGCGUUGAGUGCUGCCCACGGCUCCCCCACUGCGCCUGGCGGGUGCUGCCCUGGUCCCAAGUGCCCCCAGGCCCCAAGCUCUCGCAGUCCCUCCCGCUCCCAGAGUCGCGGCAGGACUGACCCAAGAGUCCACCAAGAAGCCUCUAGCCCACCGAGUCGAGCUGUUCGGAGGGAACGGGGCCCGGAGUCCCCCAGGAGGUGCCUCUCCACAACCUUCUGCGCUGACACAGGGUCGCCUCGUCUCCAGAGACGAAGUCUGCAGCCCCCUUAGACUUGACUUUUCAGUUGGGUUGGGGAGGGGAUAGGAGG
rnacentral:lncRNA from 1 species